GUUAGCCAGCAUACUGGAGAGGACUUCUUCCCCCGGAGCUGUCAUGGCAGCCUUAAUCCUCGCCUGAAAAUCGGUCGGGGAUAUUGAGGUAAGUUCGACAUGUUGGUUCACACCCUUUCGGUCCGUGGGAGACAGGAUCGUACAACAGUACACUUAUUGCCACUCAGUAGGCCUCCGCGUAUAACUGGGGGUCACCCAGAAUUUUGAUCAAUCAGUAUCAUUUUCGCAGGAUCCGGG